rnacentral:rRNA from 1 species
CGCGUAGGCGGUGAGAUGUGUGUGAUGUGGAAAGCCCCGGGCUUAACCUGGGAAGUGCAUCGCAAACUAUUUGACUAGAGUAGAUGAGAGGGUGGCGGAAUUUCCGGUGUAGCGGUGAAAUGCGUAGAGAUCGGAAGGAACGUCAAUGGCGAAGGCAGCCACCUGGCAUCAUACUGACGCUGAGGCGCGAAAGCGUGGGGAGCGAACA